UAGGGAAUCUUCCGCAAUGGGCGAAAGCCUGACGGAGCAACGCCGCGUGAGUGAUGAAGGUCUUCGGAUCGUAAAACUCUGUUAUUAGGGAAGAACAAAUGUGUAAGUAACUAUGCACGUCUUGACGGUACCUAAUCAGAAAGCCACGGCUAACUACGUGCCAGCAGCCGCGGUAAUACGUAGGUGGCAAGCGUUAUCCGGAAUUAUUGGGCGUAAAGCGCGCGUAGGCGGUUUUGUAAGUCUGAUGUGAAAGCCCACGGCUCAACCGUGGAGGGUCAUUGGAAACUGGAAAACUUGAGUGCAGAAGAGGAAAGUGGAAUUCCAUGUGUAGCGAUAAAAUGCGCAGAGAUAUGGAGGAACACCAGUGGCGAAGGCGACUUUCUGGUCUGUAACUGACGCUGAUGUGCGAAAGCGUGGGGAUCAAACAGG
rnacentral:rRNA from 1 species